rnacentral:lncRNA from 1 species
AAAAGAAUGGGAUAAUAUGUCUCAUAAUGGUGUCAGGACAAACACACAAAGUUACAACACAUAGUUUACCUUGAGAUCAGGUGUAGUAUUGUAGUACAUGUUCAAACAUGUACUCUUGAACAUCCAAAUAUUUGCCCAAUGAUACAUUUCUUGGUCUUUAGCUGGUAGGUCGUUGAUACAUCAACCAUUAGUAUUCUGCACACACAAUUAGGACUAUUUGUCCAAAACUGUGUUUUGUUCAAAACAGGAUAUCUGCUUGUGUGCAAUCGAUCUAUCACCCAUCAUUAUCUCUACAAAUGAUAUGGAAUCUAGGACUACUUAUCCAACAAUAGUUGUGUGUCCCCAUUGACAGCUUCAUCAUUACUCCUCCAUUCAUUUAAUUUCUUUGAGACCCUGUUAUUAUCAUAAACACCAUGAACCUUAUAAUGCCACACCAUCUUCGAUACGUCAUCCUGUGGUGAACUUAUCUCCCGUCGUUUGAUUGUCUUGUGAAGUUCGCAGAAGAACUUUGGAUCUUGCAGUUUGAUAUACUCAUGCAAUACAAGCUCGUGGUGAGGUACCCAGUUUCUAGGGAAAGUUGUAUAAUCACAUGAUGGAAUUGAUGACAUGCGUGCAAAUUGUACACCCUCAAUAAUAUCAACAACUCCCAUCCUCAAGAGAUCAGAGUAUUCUGGUGCAUCAUUGUUUGUGCUCUCCCUCAACGGGCGGCUGAGAUCACGGGAUGCAAUCUUGUAAACCUUAGCACGGGAUUUUAGUCUAUACCUUGCCGCAUAAAGCUUUGCCAAAGAGCUCCGUAUAACAUAUGCGCAGAACCCUACAAUCUUCUUCCGGUUGUCCGCAUACCUAUACCAAUCAGCCAUGGUCUCAAGAAAUUUGUUCAUUUGAGAAUUAGUGUGUGCCUGCCCAGAGUAGAGCAUUGGUGAACACGGUAAUGGCUCAGGAUCCCUGUCCCCCUUUACAAGCUCAAGCUUUCUGAAAUGCCUUAUGCACCUCUGCAAGCUUGCUGUGACAGAUAACAAUGUUCCAAUACCUUUCUCACUCACAAUGUUCCCUCCACUGGCGGUGUACAGUGGCGGAGCCAGGAAUAUUUUUUAGGUGUGGCAGAGUUUGUGAGGGGAAAAAACAACGUAGUAACAUAUAACUAUGUGAUGUUCCUGCUUGCUGCAUCUCUUGACGGUGAUCGCUGCCAUGCCCACCACGCUGACUAAAGAUCGCGUGGUUGCUCUGUAAUCGCUGCCUCUGUUGCAUGCCUUAGGGGUUAGCCGACUAGAGGUCGGUCGGUCGGUCGGUAGUAGGGACAAAUAUCACAACAAGACAUACAUUGUCAUGAGUUUGGAGGAGUAGCCGUUGCUCCUAGUUGUAUAUUGUAAUACCUCAGACGAUUUGAGUCCGAUUAGAUCUAGUUUCUUCACCGGAGAGACGGAAAGCGGUGAGGCUCUGGGUUUCGCGGAGUUGGCACUGCUCAUCACACAGCUAGAGACAAGCUUGAGGGGCGACUGCAAGGCGAUUCCUGAUCAACCGUGCUUGAACGAAACAGCUCGUGUAUCUCCAAUCAACUAGUACAUUUUUUUAGCAUGUCCAAUCAACUAGAGUACAUGUGAAUUGAUUUGCAAUUGACUGCCAAUGGUGUCCUCGUUUAGAACAUGGGCUUGUGGGUCAUGGGCUUAUGUGAUGCAAGUCACCUAUAUUGCUUAAUUCUCUCCUUCAGCGGCAGUUAGGCCUCUAAUGAGGCAGAAACACGUAGGUAACAAUACAACUACCUGGCGAAAUACAUUCGAGGCCAUGAGUUGCCUGCCCCCUGCGAGUAUUCAUCCUCCAAAUUGACGAAACUGACCAAAAAUCCAUUGACUCAGCUCAAAGCUUCAUACAUACAGUAUAUAUAUGCAAUACUUUUGCCAAAUUUUAGGUAUGGCGGCUGCCAAACCUCGCCAUAUAGCUGGAUCCGCCCCUGGCGGUGUAUCGCAAGGUCGGGUAGAUGACCCGGCGGGCAAUGACAUGAUCCAAGAAUUCAAUCCCCCUUGUGAUGUGCUCAAUCUCCACCGACGAAUUCUCUGGCCUCAAACCAAAUGUUCUCUCACAAAACUCCAUCAGUUGCCUCCUUAUCUCAACCGCAUCCUCCCUCGGCCCCCGGACCCCAAUCAAGACAUGAGAGCCAAAUCUAAGGAAAUCCAUCUUCCUGGUCUUCUCCCUCCCACUUGACGGAACAAACUCAGGCCAAGAUGGAUUAUGACAUCCCUCAUCGCCCGCCUCCUUCCAUAUCGAAUCAUGCCUUGACGGGCGGAAGUACUCGUUAAUCCUCUCCUCCAUCCACCAAUCCAACUCAUUAAGGCACACAUUGGCGAGCAAUGGACUAAUUAUCCCGCAAUGCCCAUAUUCCGGCACGUGACACGCCUGUUCUGGAGCGAACCCAAAGAACAGUCUCAGCCAAUAUGGGUCUGGCUUUGGCUCAUCCUCAUUAAGCACCUUCUUCUUCCUGCUCUUCCUGAGCACCUUCCUUUUCAGCCUCUUCUUGCUUAGCCCAUCGAGAUCCUUCUCCCUUGGAGGCACAGACCCGGGCCGGACUGGGGCGUUGAGCGCCGACUUGAGCAAAGACAGCACCUUGCGAUCAGAGACGGCCUUCUCCACACAGGACAGAAUGGUGUCUGACGAUAAGGCGUCGACCACGGUUGUGAGGUCUGCAGUGAUGAACCAGAGGUAGCCGGCAAAGCCGGAGCGAACGGAGCGGAUGGCAGUGUGGGGCCCGCGUCCAGGGCGGAAGGCGUGGGACUUGGGGGAGAACCGGGGCUCGAAGACGGGUUCGAGGAGCAGGAGGAGGAGCUCCUGGACGACGUGGUCCUGGAAGGGGGGCGGGGCGUUGGCUAGGCGGGCAGUGAGCUUGCGGCGGGAGACGGGGACGGUGGAGGGGGCGUCGGCGGGGGAGCGGAGGAGGAGGUGGGUGGAGGCGCCNNNNNNNNNNNNNNNNNNNNNNNNNNNNNNNNNNNNNNNNNNNNNNNNNNNNNNNNNNNNNNNNNNNNNNNNNNNNNNNNNNNNNNNNNNNNNNNNNNNNNNNNNNNNNNNNNNNNNNNNNNNNNNNNNNNNNNNNNNNNNNNNNNNNNNNNNNNNNNNNNNNNNNNNNNNNNNNNNNNNNNNNNNNNNNNNNNNNNNNNNNNNNNNNNNNNNNNNNNNNNNNNNNNNNNNNNNNNNNNNNNNNNNNNNNNNNNNNNNNNNNNNNNNNNNNNNNNNNNNNNNNNNNNNNNNNNNNNNNNNNNNNNNNNNNNNNNNNNNNNNNNNNNNNNNNNNNNNNNNNNNNNNNNNNNNNNNNNNNNNNNNNNNNNNNNNNNNNNNNNNNNNNNNNNNNNNNNNNNNNNNNNNNNNNNNNNNNNNNNNNNNNNNNNNNNNNNNNNNNNNNNNNNNNNNNNNNNNNNNNNNNNNNNNNNNNNNNNNNNNNNNNNNNNNNNNGGGCGGGUGCGCGAAGGCGCGGCGCCACAGCGAGGAGAGGAGGUCGAUGGGGUCGUGGACGAGGAGAGCGUAGGGGUCGGGUAGGGGGCUCCGGUCGGCUGGUGGAGGCGGCGCGGGGCGGCGCCGGAUAGGUUGGAUGCCGGCGGUGGGGAGAAGACGGCGAAGCGCUGCGCGCGGCGGCGGCAUCGGAGGGGAGGUUUUUGUUCGAACAGGUGGUGGGCGGUGACUGUGACUACACACACUCGGGUGGCCUGAGAGUAUGGCUAGGCUAGGCGUCGGCCAAACCUGGCCACAUGGGCCGGCCCGGCUGUAAAAGGGAUAGGCCCGUGUCGGCCUAAAAGCUUGGCCAUAGGGAUAGGCCCGACAUGCCUGAAGGCCGGCCUAGCACUGUACGGCUACAGGCCGGGCUACAAUGUUUCUCGGUCUUUCAGGCCGUUUGUUUUUCGAAAAUUCAGGAAAAACUGAAAAAUAAGAAAAAAAUAUACAAAAUAAUCUAAAAUUUUAAAAAAGAGAAAGAUACAGAAAAUUGAAAAGGCUAAAAAAAUACCCAAAAAACUUAAAAAGUAUAGAUAAAUGCUAGUUACGUGCCGAGGAGUGCCGUGUUGGCAAGCAACUAAAAGGUUUGUGUUGCGCCCGGCCUUAAGGCUUGGCUUUUAGGAUCUGCCUGGUUCCGUGGCAGGCUGAAGGCCAGUCUUGACCUUUUUAAUGGCGUGCGCCGGGCACAUGUCGGGCUGAAAUUUCGUGCACGCGAGGCACGACCCAUAUGCCCAGGUUUGGUGUCUGGUGAUAAUUUCACCGAUCGGCUAUCUCCAGAGCCAUCCAAUCUAACGUAGUAGCCAUUGUCGACGACUUAACCGACAUGCUCGACUUCGACUCCGACGACUUCGAUGGUAUAGAUGAUGAAGCCGGAGAGGAACAAGAUCCACCGCCUUUGGGGCACUGGCUCGCCACCUCAUCACAUGAUAUAUACAUGGUGGACACCCCCAAAGAAACCAAUGAUGACGAGACAACGGAGGAUGACCCCUCCAAGAAGCAACCCAAGCGUCGACGUCAGCGGCGCCGCUCUAAGUCCCGCCACAGCAAGAGCAGUGAUACCGGCACAGGAGAUAAUAACACUCCGGAUAGCGCCAAAGACAACAACAAUCCCCUCUGGCACGGUGUAGAGUUAGAGGACGAACAAGCUAGCCCUCCAGAGCAGGCAGCAGAUGGAGAACCGGAGGAGGAUAAUUGCAUGCCUCUCUCUGAAGACGAGGCGAGCCUCGGCGACGAUGAGUUUAUCGUGCCUAAGGACCCCGUCGAGCAAGAGCGCUUCAAGCGCCGGCUUAUGGCCACGGCAAAUAGCCUGAAGAAAAAACAGCAACAGCUUCAAGCCGAUCAAGACUUGCUAGCAGACAGAUGGACCGAAGUCCUUGCGGCCAAGGAGCAUGAACUCGAGCGCCCGUCCAAAAGUUACCCAAAACGCAGGUUGUCACCUCACCUCGAGGAGGAAGCAUUGAAACCUCAUUCACCAGUGUACGAUGCGGCUGACCGGCCACUACGCGGCCGAGCCAGAGAGGCGUUUUAGCCUAAAGUUCAGACCGCACCCCGUCGCCACUCAGUCAAAAAUACUAAGGCCCGGGGUAACACAGAGGACCUGCGAGACAUCUUGGACAGUAAGGCAAAAAUCGCAAGGUCAAUAUACGGGACACGGGCACGUGCACACGGGACGAUGAUCAUCGCGUCGGAUACACCAAGAGCAAAUCCGGCCGGGCCGAAUACAGCAAACAAGACUCAUACGAACUACGUCGAGAUAUAGCCCAGCACAGAGGUGCCGCACGCCCCCUAUGCUUCACUGAUGAAGUUAUGAAUCAUGAAUUCCCGAAGGGUUUUGUAACGCCCUCGAUGCGGCUAUAUCUCCCACGUGUCAAAGCACGACUUAGAGGCAUAACCACAUUGAAAGCAAUGUCGCAAGUGAGGUAAUCUUCACACAACCCAUGUAAUACAUAAGGGAAAGAGAUACAUAGUUGGCUUACAAUCGCCACUUCACACAAUACAUGAAUAAGCAUUACAUCAUCCAGAUACAAUCAAGGUCCAACUAUGGAACCAAAAUAAAAGAAGACUACCCCAAAAGCUACACAGAUCCCCGAUCAUCCCCAACUGGGCUCCACUACUGAUCAACUAGAACGAAACAACACAAAGGACAAGAUCUUCAUUGAGCUCCUCCUUGAGCUGGGUUGCGUCAUCUGCAUGGACUCAUCAGCACCUGCAAGCUAGUUUUGGAAGUAUCUGUGAGUCACGGGGACUCAGCAAUCUCGCAUCCUCGCGAUCAAGACUAUUUUAGCUUAUGGGUAAGAUAAAGGUAUGAGGUGGAGCUGCAGCAAGCGACUAGCAUAUAUGGUGGCUAACAUAUUCGCAAAAGAGAGCGAGAAGAGAAGGCAAAGCACGGUCGAACAACUAUGAUCAAGAAGUGAUCCUAGAACAACCUACGUCAAGCAUUACUCCAACACCGUGUUCACUUCUCGGACUCCGCCGGAAAGAGACCAUCACGGUUACACACGCGGUUGAUGUAUUUUAAUUAAGAUCAACUUCAGGUUUUCUACAACCGGACAUUAACAAAUUCCCAUCUGCCCAUAACCGCGGGCACGGCUUUCGAAAGUUCAUAACCCUGCAGGGGUGUCCCAACUUAGCCCAUGACAAGCUCUCACGGUUAACGAAGGAUAUACCUUCUCCCGAGACAUUCCGAUCAGACUCGGUAUCCCGGUUCUACAAGACACUUCGACAAGUUAAAACAAAUCCAGCAACACUGCCUGAAUGUGCCGACAAAUCCUGAUAGGAGCUGCACAUAUCUCGUUCUCAGGGCACACUCAGAUGAGACAUCCUACGAGUAAAACCAAACCUCAAGUUGCCCCGAGGUGGUCCCGCAGUCUGUUCGGUCAGACCAACACUCAAAGGAGCACUGGCCCGGGGGGGGGUUAAAAUAAUGAUGACCCUUGAGUCUGCAGAACCCAAGCGAAAAAGAGGCUUGGUGGCGAAUGGUAAAACCAAUGUUGGGCAUUGCUGGAAGAGUUUUAUCAAGGCAAACUGUCAAGGGGUUCCCAUUAUUACCCAACCGCAUAAGGAACGCAAAAUCUGGGAACAUAACACCGAUAUGACGAAAACUAGGGCGACAAGAGUGGAACAAAACACCAGGCAUAAGGCCGAGCCUUCCAUCCUUUACCAAGUAUAUAGAUGCAUUAAUUAAAUAAGAUAUAUUGUGAUAUCCCAACAAGUAAACAUGUUCCAACAAGGAACAACAUCUCCAUGUUCCAACAAGGAACAAACUUCAAUCUUCACCUGCAACUAAGAAUGCUAUAAGAGGGGUUGAGCAAAGCGGUAACAUAGCCAAACAACGGCUUGCUAGGACAAGGUGGGUUAGGGGCUUGGUUCAACAAUAUAGGAGGCAUGAUAAGCAAGUGGUAGGUAUCGCAGCAUAGACAUAGCGAAAGAGCGAGCAACUAGCAAGCAAAGAUAGAAGUGAUUUCGAGGGUAUGAUCAUCUUGCCUGAAAUCCUGCAAGGAAGAAGAACGAGUCAUGAAGAAGACACACGGACGAAGUCGAACGGAUCCUCACAAACGUGACGUUACCGGAACCAACCCGAAGAAGCAAACACCGGAAAGAAGCACACAACAUAGUAAACAACCAUUACAUAAGCAUGGCACGAUGCGCAAACAAGUAUGAUGCAUGUCCGGUUUAAAUAUGCAUGUCAUGGCAAGGGGCACAAACGAAACUACAAGUUAAGUGGAGCUCAAUAUGCAACGAGUUGCAUAUUGACGGAACACCACAUCAAUUAUUUAGUUCUCUCUCGUUUAUGUACCCAACAAGAUUAAAUGUUGUUAGCAUGGCAAGAGGGUGAAGCAUAAUAAAACUAUCUAAUCUAGGCAAGUUUAAAUGAGGCCGGAACAACAAAACAACAAGUCGGGAAACUCCUCAUGAGCAUAUUAUAGAUUUGGUACUGUUCUGUCCUAAACAAUAUUUUAGAGUUGUUAAACAUGCAAAGUAAAGCCACGAUGUUAAGCUAGGCAUUUUUCUACCCCAUUUACAUAUAAAGAUUAUUUAAGUUUGGAGCUACGGUUAUUAAGUUAUGAAUUAAAUCAUUUUAAUAUGGCAUAAGAGCAAAUUUAAAGAAACAACAUUUUAAACGUUUUUAACAUGGAUGAAAAUUGCAAAUUAUUAAUCUACACAAAAUUCUAAGCAUUUUACAUAUAUAAAGUAUUUUAAUCCGAUGCACGGUUGUGGAGUUAUUAGCAUUUUGAAACGAUGGCAUUUAGUGAAAUUAUGCAUGCCAUGAAAAGAUCUAAAAUCGUCUCACACUAAAAAUAAAAGGCCAAAGCAAAAAAAAUAUUUAGAGCUAGGAAUCGAACCCAAGACUUCCUGGAUGGAUGCAUGCACGAGUGACCAGUGGGCUGCGAUGGGAGUUUGAUAAACAAAGCAUUUAUACGCAACAUGAACCAUACCCUGGUGCAAGUCUAACGAAACUGGGAACUGAAACAGCGAUAGCUUGCUCUGAACCGUGGCUGCUUGAUCGAUGCGGGGUCAACGCGAACAUACAAGGCAGCGAGGCAUUCGCGCGCAGGGUCGAAGGGGACGCAGUAGGCGCGAGGCAGCUUGCUGGCGAGGGCGAGGCGGAUGCAGGCAAGGAUGACGGCGACGAGCUCCUGUGCUGGGAAACAGAGAGAGCUUGAGACUGGAGGCAGAGGGAAAAAAUGGAGAACAGAGAGAGGGCAACGGGGACGGGGAAGGAAGAGGCACGGCGACAUGACCUGCUGGUCGCCGGCGGCAGCAGGAUGAGGUGGCGUCGGGGUUCAACGUGGGGUCGAGGAGGCAUCGGGCGCGUCGUGGUAGUCUGAAGGUCGGGGUCGCCGGCGGGUUCACGGGAUGCAGCACGGGUACGGCGGCAUCCUCUUGGACUGCUGGAACGAGGGGGCUUGGAGUCUCCGAGCUGCGCGGGCCGAGCUCGGGAUGGCCAUGGCGCUGGAGCUCCUGUUGAGGUACAGAGAGAUGAGGAGAUUAGGGAGAGAGAGAGAUGCAGGGAAGAGGGAACAAAAGGAGAUGGUCGCGAGGGGAUGGCCUGGUGGUGUCCGGUUGCCGACGACGGCGGCGCGAGGGGACGAGGCCGAGCGCUCCUGCUCGGGGCCUCGAGCAGCUACACGAUCCAUUCGGGAUCGAGGAAGAAGAGGUAGGCUUCAGGCGCCUGGGCAAGAAGCAGAGGAGGAGCUCGGGAUCGAGGCUGCAGCAAUUUGGGCAGCGCGCAGAACGAGGGAGGUGGUCGGAGAUCUGGUUGGUGGGAGGGGAUCCCAAGUAAGACAUGAAAGCGGUGGUUGGCUGGCGGCGACGGGAUGGGAAUGGGUGUAUUGGACCAGGUAGGCUAGGGUUAGACUGCUAUAUAUAUAGCAGAUGAAAUCAGUAUAGGGCGGUUAGGUCCCUCCGAUCGUAAUCGGACGGACGGGAAAAAUAGGUUAGGUAGCCCAAAAAGAAAAACGGAGACGUUUUGUAGAUGUUUGGGGAUGAUCCGGGCACAACAGGGGCGACAGCCCCGGUCGGGUCCGGGACAACUUUCGGACGCUCACGUGAGGGGUUCGAUGCACUGUGUAGAGAGGGUUUCGGACCGUGCGGUCGCAUCGGACAACUCCGGAAGCGAAGAGGGGAAGGAGGAUGGACUAGGUGGGCUGUGGCGAGACUGCGAGGGGGAGGAGGGAGAGAGAGGGCCCGGCAUCUGUUUCCGGAGACCGAAAACGUCCGACGUUAGACUGGUUAUAAUGCCGCUAUAGUUAUCCGUUGGGGCGUCAAACGAACUCCGAAUGCGAUGAAAUUUGACAGGCGGUCUAUCUACACUAUAAUAAGACCACACGUCAACUCUCAUCCCAUUCCGAGAACAUUUUCCGGCCACUUAUAAAAUAAUAUUUCGGACGUGUCGCGGGCACGUGCAAGUGUGUCUGGGCUCAGAACGGACAACGGACGGAACUGGGGGAACCCGAACGGAUGCAAGUUUCAAAAACAUGAUGAUGCAAUGCACAUGAUGACAUGAUGAAAUGCAACACGCAAGCAAAAGACAAGGCAACAACAGCGAAAAACUGAAGGACACCUGGCACAUCGGUCUCGGGGCGUUACAGGUUUCAAUCACGUAAAUAUCGAAUCAUACGAUGGCACAACAGAUCCCGUUGUAUGGAUUGAGGAUUUCUUCCUUCACAUACACAUGGCUCGCGGUGAUGAUCUCCAUGCCAUCAAGUACCUCCCACUAAAACUCAAAGGACCAGCUCGGCAUUGGCUGAAUAGCUUGCCAGCAGAUUCCGUUGGCAAUGGGGAGGAUCUGGAAGAUGCAUUUCUUGACAACUUCCAGGGCACUUAUGUGCGGCCACCGGAUGCUGAUGACUUGAGCCACAUAACCCAAUAGCCAGGGGAAUCGGCCAGACAAUUCUGGACACGAUUCCUGACUAAGAAAAAUCAAAUUGUAGACUGUCCGGAUGCAUAGGCCCUAGCGGCAUUCAAGCAUAACAUCCACGACGAGUGGCUCGCCCGCCACCUCGGCCAGGAAAAGCCGAAAUCUAUGGCAGCCCUCACGACACUCAUGACCUGCUUCUAUGCGGGCGAGGACAGCUGGCUGGCUCACAGCAACAACACAUCGAGGAAUCCGGAUACCUCGGAUACCAAAGAUGUUAACGGUAGGCAGCGUCGUAAUAGACCAAAGCGCCGCAAUUAUGGCGAUAACACCGAAGAUACGGUUAAUGCCGGAUUCAGAGGCUCUGGAUCUGGUCAGCGGAAAAAGCCAUUUAAAAGAAAUACUCCGGCUCCGUCCAGUCUGGAUCGCAUACUGGAUCGCUCGUGUCAAAUCCACGGCACCCCCGACAAGCCAACCAAUCACACCAACAGAGAAUGCUGGGUGUUCAAGCAGGCCGGCAAGUUAAAUGCCGAGAACAAGGACAAGGGGCUGCAUAGCGAUGACGAGGAGGAGCCCCGGCCGCCGAACACAGGAGGACAGAAGGGGUUUCCCCCUCAAGUGAAGACGGUGAACAUGAUAUACGCAACCCACAUUCCCAAUAGGGAGCGGAAACGUGCACUAAGGGACGUCCAUGCGAUGGAGCCCAUCGCCCCAAAGUUCAACCCAUGGUCUGCUUGUCCGAUCACCUUUGAUCCCAGGGACCACCCCACUAGCAUCCGUCAUGGCGGAUCCGCCGCACUGAUCCUAGACCCCAUCAUUGACGGAUUUUACCUCACUCAAGUCCUUAUGGAUGGCGGCAGCAGCCUGAACCUGCUUUAUCAGGAUACAGUGCGAAAAAUGGGUAUCGAUCCCUCGAGGAUCAAACCCAGCAAAACCACCUUUAAAGGCGUCAUCCCAGGUGUAGAGGCCCAUUGCACAGGCUCAAUCACACUGGAAGUGGUUUUCGGAUCACCGGAUAACUUCCGAAGCGAAGAGUUAAUCUUCGGCAUCAUCCCAUUUCGUAGGGGCUAUCAUGCACUGCUCGGACGGACAACAUUUGCAAAAUUCAAUGCAGUGCCGCAUUACGCAUACCUCAAGCUCAAGAUGUCAGGACCUCGCGGGGUCAUAACAGUAAAUGGAAACACAGAACGCUCGCUCCGUACAGAAGAGCACACUGUGGCCCUUGCAGCAGAGGCACAAAGCAGCCUGUUCAGGCAGACCACUCAUUCGGCAUCACAGCCCCCGGACACCUUGAAGCGAGUCCGGAACAAGCUGCAACAGGAUCGCCUGGCACGAUCAAAGCUCGCCUAGCAAUCCGGCCCCCGUCCCAGUCACAGUGAAGCGACGAAAUCUAUGCCGCGCGUACAUAACUACGCAUUGAAAAUACCAUGGACACAGACGGGGGCGUAAUUAGGACACGCCCCGCAUUGUGGCUUAACCACACUAGGGGUUGUAUACCUUUGACAUUCCUUUUCUCUUUCAGGGCCUAACUCUUUGGAAGCCCUUUCCGGCAGUUCGAUUGCCGGACACAUUACGGAAGCAACAACCAAGGCGGCAAGAAGCUAAGAUGAACACGGGAACCGCCAGGUGGUCUCUAGUAAUACUCGAUAUACCUACUUUUCACUAUUUAUGCAUAGCUUGCCCUGGGAUAGGACAUUUCGAAUUGUCCUACUUUAUGCUUAUUGCACUACUUGUACCAGUACACUUCGACGUAUUAUUCAAAUAACAAUGCAUAUCAUUAAUCUGUCAUUGCAUUAUUUAAGUUUUUCUCUUUCUCUUAUAUGUCCAUUUACGACAAUCCACACCCGCACGUUCGGGUACGGUCAGUAUGCCAGGGGCUCUCGUUUACCCCAUAAUACGGCGCAAGAAGUCCGAACACUUUCGACAGUGCGGCGCCCCGAACUUAUAGCAUUAUAUGCAUCAGCUCCGAAUCAUGUCUUUGGUCAAAUGUUGGGUUGCCCGGCUCCCAUGCUUUGGUACCUCACGUUCCGCUAUAUCGGCUAAGGUAGCGGUGGGAGAACUACUGCGAUUGUGUCCCGGUUCUUCCGGAUGAGCACCUCAGUAGAGAAAGCCAAAAACUGACUGUCAUAAUAAGGCGAGAGACUGGUCGCUGUUCGAGAGGUCUCAAGUCCUUAAAGACUUUUUCCGCUUCGGGCGAGGAGUCGGCCUUGUCCGGCUUAGGCGUGUAUAGCACCCCAAAUUCGGCCCUCCGAAUACCAGGGGCUUCGCCAAAAAUUUAAAAUCAUAGACUUCUAUGGCUAAGUGAGAGUGAUAAAGCAUUAUAGUCCAAUUGUCUGGUUCGUUGCGCUGAACACCUCCCUUGAAGGACCCAAAAUUGGGAUAAAGAGUGUUUAGAUUUACCCCGAACACCCCAGUACUAGUUACAUGGGGAUAGAAGCCGAUGACUGGACAACUCUCAGAUUUUUAUAAAUAGCCGCACAUAAGGUAAUAUUUUAAAUUAAGAAAGUGUCGCAUGGCGCAAACGAACUAGUUUCAUAUUACAGGAUCACAAGGGCAUAUUCAUUCAAAAAUUACAUCCUUGGCACACUCAUCUGCCACUAAGCGGGAACCCUUCAGGACACUCUCAUAGUAAUUCUCGGGGCAGCGAUGCUCCUUGCCCUCCGGCAGCCCCUCCUUCACCAGCUUCAUGGCGUCCAGCUUCGCCCAGUGCACCUUCGCCAGGGCAAAAGCCCUGCGUGCACCUUCAAUGCAGACGGAUCGCUUGAUGACUUCAAGCCGUGGGCAGGCUUCCACAAGCCGCCUCACCAGACAGAAGUAGCUGCCGGACAGGGGCACGCCAGGCCACAUCCGGACUAUAAGGCCCCUCAUGGCCUGUUCGGCCGCCUUGUGAAGUUCGACCAACUGCUUCAGCUGGUCGCUCAAGGGCACGGGGUGUUCGGUCCCAGUAUACCGAGACCAGAAAAACUUCUCCAUUGAGCUCCCCUCCUCAGCCCGGUAAAACUCCGCGGCAUCCAGUACACUGCGGGGAAGAUCUGCAAACGCUCCUGGAGAGCUCCGAACUCGAGUAAGAAAAAGGAAAGUCUCCCUCACGUGCUUGCUUUGCAUAAAGAAUGUCUUACCCUCUACUAUCUUAUUCACCACGUCAAUCUCCUGGAGGGCCUUAUGGGCUUCGGCCUUGGCGCUCCGGACGCUUUCAAGCGCCAGCGCGAGCUCGGACUCUCGCGUCUUAGAGUCAAGCUCAAAGGACUCAUGCUUUUUGGCAAGAGCCUCGAGCUCUUGCUGCACCUCCCCCACCCGGGCUUCUUGCUUCUCCCGUUCAAUGCGUUCUUUGGCCGCUUUGUCUUCGGCCUCAGACAACUGAAAGAUCAUGGAUGUCGCCUAGGGGGGUGAAUAGGCGCUUUAAAAUAAUUACGGUUUAGGCUUGAACAAAUGCGGAAUAAACCUAGCAGUUAAUUUGCCAAGCACAAAACCUAAAACAACUAGGCUCACCUAUGUGCACCAACAACUUAUGCUAAGCAAGAUAAACUACUAGGUGAUAGCAAGAUAUAUGAUAAGAAACAAUAUGGCUAUCACAAAGUAAAGUGCAUAAGUAAAGAGCUCGGGUAAGAGAUAACCGAGGCACGCGGAGACAAUGAUGUAUCCCGAAGUUCACACCCUUGCGGAUGCUAAUCUCCGUUUGGAGCGGUGUGGAGGCACAAUGCUCCCCAAGAAGCCACUAGGGCCACCGUAAUCUCCUCACGCCCUCGCACAAUGCAAGAUGCCGUGAUUCCACUAAGGGACCCUUGAGGGCGGUCACCGAACCCGUCCAAAUGGCAACCCUUGGGGGCGGUCACCGAACCCGUACACUUUGGCAACCCUUGGGGGCGGUCACCGGUACCCGUCAAAUUGCUCGGGGCGAUCUCCACAACCUAAUUGGAGACCCCGGUGCUUGAUAGGAGCUUUACACCACAAUGAUUGAGCUCCGAACAACACCAACCGUCUAGGGCGCCAAGGCACCCAAGAGGAACAAGCUCUAGGGUGCCCAAACACCCAAGAGUAAUAAGCUUCUCAAACUUCACUUCCACGUAUCACCGUGGAGAACUCAAACCGAUGCACCAAAUGCAAUGGCAAGGGCACACGGAGUGCCCAAGUCCUUCUCUCUCAAAUCCCACCGAAGCAAUUAAUGCUAGGGAGGAAAAUGAGAGGAAGAACAAGAAGGAGAACACCAAGAACUCCAAGAUCUAGAUCCAAGGGGUUCCCCUCACCUAGAGGAGAAAGUGAUUGGUGGAAACGUGGAUCUAGAUCUCCUCUCUCUUUUCCCUCAAAAACUAGCAAGAAUCCAUGAAGGGAUUGAGAGUUAGCAAGCUCGAAGAAGGUCAACAAUGGGGGAAGAACACGAGCUAAAAAGGAUAAGGUUCAUUGGGGAAGAAGACCCCCUUUCAUAGGUGGGGAAAAAUCCAACCGUUAUGCUCACAGCCCGCACAGAGCGGUACUACCGCUCCAAGGAGCGGUGCUACCGCUAGGGCGGUAGUACCCCUUUGAAAAACAACAACGAGGAGGCAAAAGGCCAGUAGAACCGCCGGAGCGGUACUAUCGCUCGUCCUCAUGGUACUACCGCUAGGGAUCGAGGUACUACCGCAAAGGGUAGCGGUACUACUGCUAGCGAGCGGUACUAAAAAAAUACAUCCGGGCCUACCACCGCAGGACUUGGGACGAGUUUUUGGUCUGGAGCGGUACUACCGUUGUAGGAGCCGCGGUAGUAUCGCUCUGGAGCGGUAGUAAAAAAUUACAUCCGCUCCAAAUCGCGGUAGUACCACUGCAGCCCUUUCAGAACACCAAAACUGCCAUAACUUUCACUAGUGGCUUCUCUCAAGAGCAUAAGUAUUCUACGGUGGGUGAACAAAUUACGUUGAGCAAUUGACAGAAUUGAGCAUAGUUAUGAGAAUAUCUAGGCAUGAUCAUGUAUAUAGGCAUCACGUCCGUGACAAGUAGAUCGAAACGAUUGUGCAUCUACUACUAUUACUCCACUCAUCGACCACUAUCCAGCAUGCAUCUAGAGUAUUAAGUUAAAAACAAAGUAACGCCUUAAGCAAGAUGACAUGAUGUAGAGAGAUAAAUUCAUGCAAUAUGAAAUAAACCCCAUCUUUUUAUCCUCGAUGGCAAUGAUACAAUACGUGCCUUGCUUCCCCUUCUGUCACUGGGUAAGGACACCGCAAGAUCGAACCCAAAGCUAAGCACUUCUCCCAUGGCAAGAACUACCAAUCUAGUUGGCCAAACCAAACGGAUAAUUCGAAGAAACUUGCAAAGAUAACCAAUCAUACAUAAAAGAAUUCAGAGAAGAUUCAAAUAUUAUUCAUAGAUAGACUUGAUCAUAAACCCACAAUUCAUCGAUCUCAACAAACACACCGCAAAAAGAAGAUUAUAUUGAAUAGAUCUUCACAAGAGAGGGGAAGAACUUUGUAUUGAGAUUCAAAGAGAGAGAAGAAGCCAUCUAGCUACUAACUAUGGACCCCGAAGGUCUGAGGUAAACUACUCACACUUCAUCGGAGGGGCUAGUAUGAUGUAGAAGCCCUCCGUGAUGACGGCCCUCUUCCGGCGGAGCUUUGGAACAGGCCCCAAGAUGGGAUCUCGUGGAUACAGAAAGUUGCGACGAUGGAAUUAGGUUUUUGGCUCUUGUUCUGAUCGUUUGGGGGUACGUGUGUAUAUAUAGGAGGAAGAAGUACGCCAGAGGAGCAAUGAGGGGCCCAUGAGGCAAGGGGCGCGCCCUAAGAGGGGGGGGCACCCCCACCCUCAUGACCACCUCUUUUGUUCCUUGGAGCAGGGUCCAAGUCUCCUGGAUCACGUUCGGUGAGAAAAUCACGUUCCCGAAGAUUUUAUUCCGUUUGGACCCCGUUUGAUAUUCCGUUUAUCUGAAACACUGAAAUAGGCAAAAAACAACAAUUCUGGGCUGGGCCUCCGAUUAAUAGGUUAGUCCAAAAAAUAACAUCAAAGUGGAAAAUAAAGCCCAAUAUAGUCCAAAACAGUAGAUAAUAUAGCAUGGAGCAAUCAAAAAUUAUAGAUACAUUGGAGACGUAUCAUACUACUGCUGUAGGAGCCGCGGUACUACCACUCUGGAGCGGUAGUAAACAAUUACAUCCGCUCCAAAUCGCGGUAGUACCGCUGCAGCCUUUUCAGAACACCAAAUCUGCCACAACUUUUGCAAACGGACUCCGAAUUCGGCGAAACCAAAUUUGUUGGAAAGCUAGCGACAAGGGCUAAUACAAUCUUGAUGGAAAUACCAAUAAGAAGCAAAUGAGAAAAGUGUUGGGGAACGUAGUAAUUUCAAAAAUUUCCUACGCACACUCAAGAUCAUGGUGAUGCAUAGCAACGAGAGGGGAGAGUGUUGUCUACGUACCCUCGUAGACCGAAAACGGAGGAGGGGGAGGGCCGGCCCUCUCUAUGGCACGCCCUAGGGGAGUCCUACUCCCACCGGGAGUAGGAUUCCCCCUUUCCUAGUAGAACUAGGAGCCCUUCCAAGUAGUAGGAUUAGGAGGGAAGGAAAGGGAAGGGAAAAGGAGAAGGAAGGAAGGGGGCGCCCCCUUCCCUAGUCCAAUUCGGACCAGCCCAUGGGGAGGGGUGCGGCCACCCUUUGAGGCCUUUCUCUCCUUUCCUGUAUGGCCCAUUAAGGCCCAAUACGAAUUCCUGUAACUCCCCGGUACUCCCGAAAAUACCCGAAUCACUCGGAAAGUUUCCGAUGUCCGAAUAUAGUCGUCCAAUAUAUCGAUCUUUACGUCUCGACCAUUUCGAGACUCCUCGUCAUGUCCCCGAUCUCAUCCGGGACUCCGUACUCCUUUGGUACAUCAAAACACAUAAACUCAUAAUAUAACCGUCAUCGAACUUUAAGCGUGCGGACCCUACAGGUUUGAGAACUAUGUAGACAUGACCGAGACACGUCUCCGGUCAAUAACCAAUAGCGGAACCUGGAUGCUCAUAUUGGCUCCUACAUAUUCUACGAAGAUCUUUAUCGGUCAAACCGCAUAACAACAUACGUUGUUCCCUUUGUCAUCGGUAUGUUACUUGCCCGAGAUUCGAUCAUCGGUAUCUCAAUACCUAGUUCAAUCUCGUUACCGGCAAGUCUCUUUACUCGUUCCGUAAUACAUCAUCCCGCAACUAACUCAUUAGUUGCAAUGCUUGCAAGGCUUAUAGUGAUGUGCAUUACCGAGUGGGCUCAGAGAUACCUCUCCGACAAUCAGAGUGACAAAUCCUAAUCUCAAAAUACGCCAACCCAACAAGUACCUUCGGAGACACCUAUAGAGCACAUUUAUAAUCACCCAGUUACGUUGUGACAUUUGGUAGCACACAAAGUGUUCCUCCAGUAAACGGGAGUUGCAUAAUCUCAUAGUCAUAGGAACAUGUAUAAGUCAUGAAGAAAGCAAUAGCAAUAAACUAAACGAUCAAGUGCUAUGCUAACGGAAUGGUUCAAGUCAAUCACAUCAUUCUCCUAAUGAUGUGAUCCCGUUAAUCAAAUGACAACUCAUGUCUAUGGUUAGGAAACAUAACCAUCUUUGAUCAACGAGCUAGUCAAGUAGAGGCAUACUAGUGACACCCUGUUUGUCUAUGUAUUCACACAUGUAUUAUGUUUCCGGUUAAUACAAUUCUAGCAUGAAUAAUAAACAUUUAUCAUGAUAUAAGGAAAUAAAUAAUAACUUUAUUAUUGCCUCUAGGGCAUAUUUCCUUCAGUCUCCCACUUGCACUAGAGUCAAUAAUCUAGUUCACAUCGCCAUGUGAUUUAACACCAAUAGUUCAAAUCACCAUGUGAUUAACACCCAUAGUUCACAUCGUCAUGUGACCAACACCCAAAGGGUUUACUAGAGUCAAUAAUCUAGUUCACAUCGCUAUGUGAUUAACAACCCAAAGAGUACUAAGGUGUGAUCAUGUUUUUCUUGUGAGAGAAGUUUAGUCAACGGGUCUGCCACAUUCAGAUCCGUAAGUAUUUUGCAAAUUUCUAUGUCAACAAUGCUCUGCACGGAGCUAUUCUAGCUAAUUGCUCCCACUUUCAAUAUGUUUCCAGAUUGAGAUUUAGAGUCAUCUGGACCAGUGUCAAAAUUUGCAUCGACGUAACCCUUUACGACGAACCUUUUUGUCACCUCCAUAAUCGAGAAACAUAUAUUUAUUCCACUAAGGAUAAUUUGACCAUUGUCCAGUGAUCUACUCCUAGAUCACUAUUGUACUCCCUUGCCAAAAACAGUGUAGGGUAUACAAUAGAUCUAGUACACAGCAUGGCAUAUUUUAUAGAACCUAUGGCCAAGGCAUAGGGAAUGACUUUUAUUCUCUCUCUAUCUUUUGCCGUGGUCGGGUUUUGAGUCUUACUCAACUUCACACCUUGUAACACAGGCAAGAACUCUUUCUUUGACUGUUCCAUUUUAAACUACUUCAAAAUCUUGUCAAGGUAUGUACUCAUUGAAAAACUUAUCAAGCGUCUUGAUCCAUCUCUAUAGAUCUUGAUGCUCAAUAUGUAAGCAGCUUCACCGAGGUCUUUCUUUGAAAAACUCCUUCCAAACAUUCCUUUAUGCUUUGCAGAAUAAUUCUACAUUAUCUCCGAUCAACAAUAUGUCAUUCACAUAUACUUAUCAGAAAUGCUGUAGUGCUCCCACUCACUUUCUUGUAAAUACAGGCUUCGCCGCAAGUCUGUAUAAAACUAUAUGCUUUGAUCAACUUAUCAAAGCGUAUAUUCCAACUCCGAGAUGCUUGCACCAGUCCAUAGAUGGAUCGCUGGAGCUUGCAUAUUUUGUUAGUACCUUUAUGAUUGACAAAACCUUAUGGUUGCAUCAUAUACAACUCUUCUUUAAUAAAUCCAUUAAAGAAUGCAGUUUUGUUUAUCCAUUUGCCAGAUUUCAUAAAAUGCGGCAAUUGCUAACAUGAUCCGGACAGACUUAAGCAUAGAUAUGAGUGAGAAACUCUCAUCGUAGCCAACACCUUGAACUUGUCAAAAACCUUUUUGCGACAAUUCUAGCUUUGUAGAUAGUAACACUACUAUCAGCGUCCGUCUUCCUCUUGAAGAUCUAUUUAAUCUCAAUGGCUCACCGAUCAGUGGGAAAGUCAAUCAAAGUCCAUACUUUGUUCUCAUACAUGGAUCUCAUCUCAGAUUUCAUGGCCUCAAGCCAUUUCGCGGAAUCUGGGCUCAUCAUCGCUUCCUAUAGUUCGUAGGCUCGUCAUGGUCAAGUAACAUGACCUCCAGAAUAGGAUUACCGUACCACUCUGGUGCGGAUCUCACUCUGGUUUACCUACGAGGUUCGGUAGCAACUUGAUCUGAAGUUACAUGAUCAUCAUCAUUAGCUUCCUCACUAAUUGGUGUAGUAGUCACAGGAACAUAUUUUUGUGAUGAACUACUUUCCAAUAAGGGAGCAAGUACAAUUACCUCAUCAAGUUCUACUUUCCUCCCACUCACUUCUUUCGAGAGAAACUCCUUCUCUAGAAAGGAUCCAUUCUCAGCAACGAAUAUCUUGCCUUCGGGUCUGUGAUAGAAGGUGUACCCAACAUUUUCUUUUUGGGUAUCCUAUGAAGACACACUUCUCCGAUUUGGGUUUGAGCUUAUCAGGUUGAAACUUUUCCACAUAAGCAUUGCAAUCUCAAACUUUAAGAAACGACAACUUUGGUUUCUUGCCAAACCACAGUUCAUACGGUGUCGCCUCAACGGAUUUAGGUGGUGCCCUUUUUAAUGUGAAUGCAGCUGUCUCUAAUGCAUAACCCCAAAACUAUAGUGAUUAAUCGGUAAGAAACAUCAUAGAUUGCACUAUAUCCAAUAAUAGUACGGUUAUGAUGUUCGGACACACCAUUAUGCUGUGGUGUUCCAGGUGGCAUGAUUUUGUGAAACUAUUCCACAUUGUUUUAAUUGAAGACCAAACUCGUAACUCAAAUAUUUGUCUCUGCGAUCAGAUCGUAGAAACUUUAUUUUCUUGGCACGAUGAUUUUCCACUUCACUCUGAAGUUCUUUGAACUUUUCAAAUGUUUCAGACUUAUUAUUCAUCAAGUAGAUAUACCCAUAUCUGCUCAAAUCAUCUGUGAAGGUCAGAAAAUAACGAUACCCGCCGCGAGCCUCAACACUCAUCGGACUGCAUACAUCAGUAUGUAUUAUUUCCAAUAUGUCAGUUGCUCGCUCCAUUGUUCCGGAGAACGGAGUCUUAGUCAUCUUGCUCAUGAGGCAUGGUUCGCAAGCAUCAAAAUGAUUCAUAAUCAAGUGAUUCCAAAAGCCCAUCGGCAUGGAGUUUCUUCAUGCGCUUUACACCAAUAUGACCUAAACGGCAGGGCCACAAAUAAGUUGCACUAUCAUUAUUAACUUUGCAUCUUUUGGCUUCAAUAUUAUGAAUAUGUGUAUCACUACGAUCGAGAUUCAAUGAACUAUUUUCAUUGGGUGUAUGACCAUAGAAGGUUUUAUUCAUGUAAACAGAACAACAAUUAUUCUCUAACUUAAAUGAAUAACCGUUUUGCAAUAAACAUGAUCAAAUCAUAUUCAUGCUCAACGCAAACACCAAAUAACAUUUAUUUAGGUUUAACACUAAUCCCGAAAGUAUAGGGAGUGUGCGAUGAUGAUCAUAUCAAUCUUGGAACCACUUCCAUCACACAUCGUCACUUCACCCUUAACUAGUCUCUGUUCAUUCUGCAACUCCCGUUUCGAGUUACUACUCUUAGCAACUGAACCAGUAUCAAAUACCGAGGGGUUGCUAUAAACACUAGUAAAGUACACAUCAAUUACAUGUAUAUCAAAUAUAGCAUUGUUCACUUUGCCAUCCUUCUUAUCCGCUAAAUACUUGCAGUUCCGCUUUUAGUGACCAGUCCCUUUGUAGUAGAAGCACUUAGUCUCAGGCUUAGGUCUAGACUUGGGCUGCUUCACUUGAGCAGCAACUUGCUUGCCGUUCUUCUUGAAGUUCCCUUUCUUUCCAUUUGCCUUUUUUUUGAAACUAGUGGUCUUGUUAAUCAUCAACACUUGAUGCUCUUUCUUGAUUUCUACCUUCAUCGAUUUCAUCAUCAUGAAAAGCUCAGGAAUCGUUUUCAUCAUCCCUUGCAUACUAUAGUUCAUCACGAAGUUGUACUAACUUGGUGAUGGUGACUAGAGAAUUCUGUCGAUCACUAUUUUAUCUGGAAGAUUAACUCCCACUUGAUUCAAGCGAUUGUAGUACCCAGACAAUCUGAACACAUGCUCACUGCUUGAGCUAUUCUCCUCCAUCUUUUAGCUAUAGAACUUGUUGGAGACUUCAUAUCUCUCAACUCGGGUAUUUGCUUGAAAUAUUAACUUCAACUCCUGGAACAUCCAUAUGAUCCAUGACGUUCAAAACGUCUUUGAAGUCCCGAUUCUAAGCUGUUAAGCAUGGUGCACUAAACUAUCAAGUAGUCAUCAUAUUGAGCUAGCCAAACGUUCAUGACGUCUGCAUCUGCUCCUGCAAUAGGUCUGUCACCUAGCGGUGCAUUAAGGACAUAAUUCUUCUAUGCAGCAAUGAGGACAUCAUUGCUACUAACAUUUUUCAACAUAGUUUUCUCUAGGAAUAUAUAAAAAAUUAAACGUGGAGCAAUAUCGCAAGCAAUUGAUCUACAACAUAGAUAUGCUAAUACUACCAGGACUAAGUUCAUGAUAAAUUUAAGUACAAUUAAUCAUAUUACUUAAGAACUCCCACUUAGAUAGACAUCCCUCUAAUCAUCUAAGUGAUCACGUGAUCCAAAUCAACUAAACCAUAACCGAUCAUCACGUGAAAUGGAGUAGCUUUCAAUGGUGAACAUCAUUAUGUUGAUCAUAUCUACUAUAUGAUUCACGCUCGACCUUUCGGUCUCAGUGUUCCGAGGCCAUAUCUGCAUAUGCUAGGCUCGUCAAGUUUAACCUGAGUAUUCUGCGUGUGCAAAACUGGCUUGCACCUGUUGUAGAUGGACGUAGAGCUUAUCACACCCGAUCAUCACGUGGUGUCUGGGCACGACGAACUUUGGCAACGGUGCAUACUCAGGGAGAACACUUUUAUCUUGAAAUUUAGUGAGAGAUCAUCUUAUAAUGCUACCAUCAAUCAAAGUAAGAUAAGAUGCAUAAAAGAUAAACAUCACAUGCAAUCAAAAUAUGUGACAUGAUAUGGCCAUCAUCAUCUUGUGCCUUUGAUCUCCAUCUCCAAAGCAUCGUCAUGAUUUCCAUCAUCACCGGCAUGACACCAUGAUCUCCAUCAUCUUGAUCUAUAUCAAUGUGUCGUCACAUGGUCGUCUCGCCAACUAUUGCUCUUGCAACUAUUGCUAUCGCAUAGCGAUAAAGUAAAGCAAUUAUUUGGCGCUUGCAUCUUAUGCAAUAAAGAGACAACCAUAAGGCUUCUGCCAGUUGCCGAUAACUUAAAAAAACAUGAUCAUCUUAUACAACAACUUUUAUCUCAUCACGUCUUGACCAUAUCACAUCACAACAUGCCCUGCAAAAACAAGUUAUGCGUCCUCUACUUUGUUGUUGCAAGUUUUACGUGGCUGCUACGGGCUUAGUAAGAACCGUUCUUACCUACGCAUCAAAACCACAACGAUAGUUUGUCAAGUUGGUGAUGUUUUAACCUUCGCAAGGACCGGGCGUAGCCACACUCGGUUCAACUAAAGUUGGAGAAACUGACACCCGCUAGUCACUUGUGUGCAUAGCACGGCGGUAAAACCAGUCUCGCGUAAGCGUACGCGUAAUGUCGGUCCGGGCCGCUUCAUCCAACAAUACCGCUGAACCAAAGUAUGACAUGUUGGUAAGCAGUAUGACUUAUAUCACCCACAACUCACUUGUGUUAUACUCGUGCAUAUUACAUCAACACAUAAAACCUGGCUCUGACACCACUGUUGGGGAACGUAGUAAUUUCAAAAAUUUCCUACGCACACUCAAGAUCAUGGUGAUGAAUAGCAACAAGAGGGGAGAGUGUUGUCUACGUACCCUCGUAGACCGAAAGCGGAAGCGUUAGCAUAACGUGGUUGAUGUAGUCGUACGUCUUCACGAUCCGACCGAUCAAGUACCGAACGCACGACACCUCCGAGUUCUGCACACGUUCAACUUGAUGACGUCCCUCGAACUCCGAUCCAGCCGAGUGUUGAGGGAGAGUUUCAUCAGCACGGUGGCGUGGUGACGAUGAUGAUGUUCUACCGACGCAGGGCUUCGCCUAAACACCGCUACGAUAUGAAUGAGGUGGAUUAUGGUGGAGGGGGGCACCGCACACGGCUAAGAGAUCAAGAAAUCAAUUGUUGUGUCUUUGGGGUGCCCCCUGCCCUCAUAUAUAAUGGAGUGGAGGAGGGGGAGGGCCGGCCCUCUCUAUGGCGCGCCCUAGGGGAGUCCUACUCCCACCGGGAGUAGGAUUCCCCCUUUCCUAGUAGAACAAGGAGCCCUUCCAAGUAGUAGGAGUAGGAGGGAAGGAAAGGGAAGGGAAAAGGAGAAGGAAGGAAGGGGCGCCCCCUUCCCUAGUCCAAUUCGGACCAGCCCAUGGGGAGGGGUGCGGCCACCCUUUGAGGCCUUUCUCUCCUUUCCUGUAUGGCCCAUUAAGACCCAAUACGAAUUCCCAUAACUCCCUGGUACUCCCGAAAAUACCCGAAUCACUCAGAACCUUUCUGAUGUCCGAAUAUAGUCGUCCAAUAUAUCGAUCUUUACGUCUCAACCAUUUCAAGACUCCUCGUCAUGUCCCCGAUCUCAUCCGGGACUCCGAACUUUUUUGGUACAUCAAAACACAUAAACUCAUAAUAUAACCGUCAUCGAACUUUAAGCGUGCGGACCCUACGGGUUCAAGAACUAUGUAGACAUGACCGAGACAUGUCUCCGGUCAAUAACCAAUAGUGGAACCUGGAUGCUCAUAUUGGCUCCUACAUAUUCUACGAAGAUCUUUAUCGGUCAAACAGCAUAACAACAUACGUUGUUCCCUUUGUCAUCGGUAUGUUACUUGCCCGAGAUUCGAUCGUCGGUAUGUCAAUACCUAGUUCAAUCUCAUUACCGGCAAGUCUCUUUACUCGUUCCGUAAUACAUCAUCCCGCAACUAACUCAUUAGUUGCAAUGCUUGCAAGGCUUAUAGUGAUGUGCAUUACCGAGUGGGCCCAGAGAUACCUCUUCGACAAUCGGAGUGACAAAUCCUAAUCUCGAAAUACGCCAACCCAACAAGUACCUUCGGAGACACCUGUAGAGCACAUUUAUAAUCACCCAGUUACGUUGUGACGUUUGGUAGCACACAAAGUGUUCCUCCGGUAAACGGGAGUUGCAUAAUCUCAUAGUCAUAGGAACAUGUAUAAGUCAUGAAGAAAGCAAUAGCAAUAAACUAAACGAUCAAGUGCUAUGCUAACGGAAUGGGUCAAGUCAAUCACAUCAUUCUCCUAAUGAUGUGAUCCCGUUAAUCAAAUGACAACUCAUGUCUAUGGUUAGGAAACAUAACCAUCUUUGAUCAACAAGCUAGUCAAGUAGAGGCAUACUAGUGACACUCUGUUUGUCUAUGUAUUCACACAUGUAUUAUGUUUCCGGUUAAUACAAUUCUAGCAUGAAUAAUAAACAUUUAUCAUGAUAUAAGGAAAUAAAUAAUAACUUUAUUAUUGCCUCUAGGGAAUAUUUCCUUCAAAAAGGCCCAAAAGAAAAUGAUGAGAACCCUUCCUCGGAUAAGACCGGUAAAACCUCCAACACCGAAAACAUCAUAGAAGACGCAUGCAAACUCCGUUUUCGAUGAACUCAAAGCUUGUCAUCAAGAUGACCAUAAGCUCUAAGACUCACAAAGAGAACCAAAUAAGAACCAAGAAACAUGAUGCAAGGAUGCAAUGGUUUGAGCUCUCGAUGAACGAUAUGAUCAAGCUACUCACUUGAGAGCCCCCCUUGAUAGUAUGACUAUCGAUCCUAUAAUCCGGUCUCCCAACUACCACCAUGAGACCAGUAGAAUAGAAAACCUAUCAAGGGAAAACCUUUGCCUUGCACAUGAUCCACUUGAGCUAGAUGAUGACGAUCUUGUCCUCCUCAAGAUGGACCACCUUUCUUGAUUGUGUUGGGUCGAUGGAGACUAGAUGAUUGCUCCCCCAUACUCCACUAUGGGUGAGCCACUCUUCAGCACAUCUUCACAAGUCCAUUGGCACAUAUGGCAAGCUUCAAGCACUUGAUCUCUCCGUGAUUCUCCACUUGAACUUGCACACGACAAUCUUGAUGACGAUCACCACUUGAUGUCAUCCUUCCCAUGGGUUGUAUGAUAUCAUCCUCUUGACGCAAGCCCAUGGACACGUACCUAACCCCACAUAGACUCUCACAUAGACCAUGGGUUAGUACACAAAGUGCAAUGGACAAUGCUUACCAUACCAUGGGAUCACUUGAUCCCUCUCGGUACAUCUUCUACUCUUUGUGAGUUGAUCAACUUGAUUCACUCUUGACUUAGUCUUGAUCAACCUUGAAUCUUUCCAACUCUCUUCGUUUGGAUGAUGUCUUGAAGGUAAACAUGAAUGAUCACACAAUCUUCUUCUUGAAGACAUGCUUGCAAUAAGCUCAACACUCACAUGACCAAUCUUUGGAUAAUUCCUUAGUAGCACCUUGGUCAACCCAUAAACUCCUUGAAACCAACACAUGGACUUCAAGACAUGCCUAUGGAAAAAUCCUUCAAAUAUAACUCAAUGCAACCAUUAGUCCAUAGAGAAUGUCAUCAAUUACCAAAACCACACAUGGGGGCACCGCAUGUCCUUUCAACAACGCCUUCCUCAGGGUCUCCACCUCGGUUGUGGCCCCUGACAAAUUCAUGAUGAUCCUAUUACUUUACACCCAAACUUCUUUUUAACUAUAUAGACAAGGGUAUAUCUUGCCUUUGCUCUCUUCGAGCUGCCUCUUGGUAAGGCCGAGCUCGUCCUCGGACCGCUUCAGGUCCUGCUUCAGUGCAGAGACCUCCGCAGUACGUGCGGCAGUGGCCAGCAGUGAAGCCUGCACAUACACAUAAACAUACUCUAAUUAGACUCCUGAGUUAUCAUUUGAUACUCUAUUCGGCUUUUCUUCGCAAACGCCGAACAGAGCAUCAGGGACUACUAUCUAUGCGGUAAUAUUUUCUUAUAUUUUGAAUGCUUACCUCAAAGCCUGUUAGGAGGCCGGCGCAAGUUUCGGUCAGUCCGUUCUUGGCGGACUGAACCUUCGCGACCACCGCACUCAUGAUAGUGCGGUGCUCUUCUUCGACGGAAGCGCUGCGAAACACUUCCAGCAGGGUGUCCGGUGCCUCUGGUUGGAUAGAGGACACCGGCAUGGAUGGUUCCCCUUAAUGGGGGACCGUCUGCUGGAGUCCGGAACCAUUGGAGGUUCCGGCGCAGUGUUCGGCUGGGGCCCGAACUCGAAGCCCGUAGGAGCCUCACUCCCUUGGUACCCAGGGCCCAGGAGGUCGCCGUGAGGUGCCCCCAGGAUCACCUCCCCUUGGCUCGGUGCCUUUUGAGACAACACCUCGGCGUUGUCCGUAGGGCGAGGGGUGGAAGCGGUCAGAGGAGAACUGCUGUUCAUAUCCGACGAGUCCAAAGAGCCGCUCGACGAGGGUACGUCGAGAUGAGCUCGGGACGGACUACAUAAUCAUGUUUGGCAUGAGGAAAGGCAGUACAAUAAAACAUACCAUGAAGUACUAUGGUGUUUGGACACUUACAACUUCGCCAGGGGCUUGUCCCUGGGUAGCCACUCGUCACCACUGUCGGCGGCCAUCGUGGCAUAGUCCGAAGGGAGGGUCUUUCCCUUCUUGGACCCUUCGGCCUCCCUGGAUGGGCCGGCCUUCCUUUUCUUUUCUCCCCCGGCUGGGGGGGAGAACUUUUCUCCCCUCCUCUUUAUGUGGGAGGAGUUUGCGUCGGAGUCAUCAGACGAUGAGUCCGAUAUAACCUUGCGUCGGAGACCCUUUCGGGUCCCCGUGGCCUUCUUCUUGGCCUUCUUUUCCGGCACCUCGUAAGGUGCCGGAGUCAGCAUCUUCGUUAGAAGAGCGUCAACAUGAUCUUCGGGCAGGGGGCUAGGCAAUCAAGCUGCUCCGCUGUCUCUAUCUAGUCUUGUUAAUGACAUAAAAGCUUAGAUCCAGCACAUAACUAAACCAGGGCGAAUAAAUACCCUGAGAGAUAUAAAAUCCUACCAGAUGGGCGCGGCGCUUUGCGCUGAGUCCGUGGUCCUCAGUGAGGGAGGGAGGCAUCUCGUCACCCUUGAACAACACCCUCCAUACGUCCUCGUGCGUCAUGUCGUAGAGCUCUCUCAGCGUCUGAUGCUUGGCCGAGUCGAACUCCCACAAAACAAAUGCCCGUCGUUGACACGGAAGGAUCCAGCGGAAGAGCAUAACCUGGACCACGUUGACGAGCUUGAUUUUCUUGUUCGUCAUGUUCUGGAUGCAGGUCUGGAGUCCGGUCAGCUCUACCGAAGAAUCCUAGGACAAGCCCUUCUUUUUCCAGGAGGUGAGCCGCGUGGGGAUUCUGGAUCAAAAUUUGGGGCCGCCACCCAGUUGGAGUCGCGCGGCUCGGUGAUGUAGAACCACCUCGAUUGCCACCCGUUUAUGGUAUCCACGUAGGUGCCCUCGAGCCAGGUGACAUUAGGCAUCUUGCCCACCAUGGCGCCUCCGCACUAUGCUUGCUGGCCACCCACCACCUUCAGUUUGACAGUGAAGGUUUUCAGCCAUAGGCCGAAGUGGGGCCUGAUGCGGAGGAAGGCCUCGCACACGACGAUAAACGCCGCGAUGUUGAGGAUGAAAUUGGGGGCCAAAUCAUGAAAAUCCAGCCCGUAGUAGAACAUGAGCCCGCGGAGAAACGUGUGGAGAGGAAAUCCCAGUCCGCGGACGAAAUGGGUAAGAAAAACUACCCUCUCAUGGGGUUCAGGCGUGGGGACGAUCUGCCCCGCAUUUGGCAGCCGGUGCGCGAUAUCCGCGGCCAAGUAUCCGGCUUCCCGUAACUUUUUGAUGUUCUCCUCCGUGACGGAGGAGACCAUCCACUUGUCUCCUGCUCCGGACAUGAUUGGAGUGGUUUGAGAAGAAGAACGCGAGCUUGGGCACUAGAGCUCGCGUGUGCGGGAGUGGGUAAGCGAGAAGGAAGAAGGCGUGGGUGAAAAAAGUAAAUCUUUGUCCCUUUAUAAGGACGGAGGAGGCGAUGUGUCUCCCCACUUGCCUGGCAAAACCACUUAUUCCCCAGGCACUGUAAUUGAUGGCGCGGUUGGGUUACCCACGUCCGUAUUGAUGAGAAUCCUGUGAUAAGGGGAACACGAUCUCUGCUUUGACAAGACAUAUCAAGAAAACCGCCUCGCGAUAUGUGCAGAGCUGGUUGAGAAAAGCGGUUCGAAUAAUAACCGAGCCAUGUUAUGAUGUCAUGCUGUCAAAACGUGUCAGCAAAUUAGAUUUGUGGAAAUAUUAUUCCCUCUACGGUGGUAUGUGGAACUUAUUUUGCAGGGUCGGACACUAUCCUUGCGUUCAAACUCUUCCAUGGUGUAUUCCGAGGAGGAACCCGCCUUGCAAUGCCGAAGACAACACUGCGCGCCGGACUCAUCGUCAUUGAAGCCUGGUUCAGGGGCUACUGAGGGAGUCCUGGAUUAGGGGGUCUCCAGACAGCCGGACUAUAUCCUUUGGCCGGAUGUUGGACUAUGAAGAUACAAGAUUGAAGACUUCGUCCCGUGUCCGGAUGGGACUCUACUUGGCGUGGAAGGCAAACUAGGCAAUACUGAUAUGUAUAUCUCCUCCUUUGUAACCGACCUUGUGUAACCCUAGCCCCCUCCGGUGUCUAUAUAAACCGGAGGGUUUUAGUCCGUAGGACAACAUACAAUCAUACCAUAGGCUAGCUUCUAGGGUUUAGCCUCUUUGAUCUCGUGGUAGAUCAACUCUUGUAAUACUCAUAUCAUCAAGAACAAUCAAGCAGGAUGUAGGGUAUUACCUCCAUCGAGAGGGCCCGAACCUGGGUAAACAUCGUGCCCCUGCCUCCUGUUACCAUCCGCCUUAGACGCAAAGUUCGGGACCCCCUACCCGAGAUCCGCCGGUUUUGACACCGACAUUGCCCUUUCGCGCUUAUCUUCGACAAUCAUGUUGUGCAAGAUUAACAACAUGUUAUCAGCUUCCACAAUAUAUGUGGUUCCCACAUCAUUGUAGUUUCACGAAGAAUGCCCUAAUGAGAUUGGAGCACUACGAAUGCGCUCCUCACAUCUUUCUGUUGGAGAUAUAUCCUAGAGGCAAUCAUGUG